GAUGAAGAACGUAGCGAAAUGCGAUAAGUAAUGUGAAUUGCAGAAUUCAGUGAAUCAUCGAAUCUUUGAACGCACAUUGCGCCCGCCAGUAUUCUGGCGGGCAUGCCUGUUCGAGCGUCAUUACAACCCUCAGGCCCCCGGGCCUGGCGUUGGGGAUCGGCGGAAGCCCCCUGCGGGCACAACGCCGUCCCCCAAAUACAGUGGCGGUCCCGCCGCGGCUUCCAUUGCGUAGUAGCUAACACCUCGCAACUGGAGAGCGGCGCGGCCACGCCGUAAAACACCCAACUUCUGAAUGUUGACCUCGAAUCAGGUAGGAAUACCCGCUGAACUUAAGCAUAUCAAUAAGCGGAGGA
rnacentral:misc_RNA from 1 species